rnacentral:snRNA from 1 species
AACCUUGUGCUCGGGCAAGCGAGGUAGACAGUGAGGUUUAUAACCGAGUCAUCUCCGAUUGCUUAUUGAAAACUAGCAUCCUUUACGUACGUCGUUGCGAAUGCGACACGUCAAUCUCUCGCCAAGCGGCAGCU